rnacentral:lncRNA from 1 species
UUAUUUGCAUGGCUUUUGCAACAUAACUGGAGGGGAUACUCUGUGAAUAUGUUAAGUACACACCAGUGUCUGCUAAAGAAGAUUUGAUUUUAUAAGAAAGACUUCUUUUCUCCUUUCCCCUUCCACUAUUCUUUUUUUGAAACCAUUUUCUCAAGUUAAAAAACAAGAGAAGUGCUGCUAUCCCGUUGCUAUUAAUUACCAUAUGAUGGAUAAAAUAACUUGGCUUUGGAAAGAAUCAUUCUAUGGUACCCUGCAGAAAGAAUAUUUAAGUCAUGGUGGUUAUGCUUCUGAUGUGAUAUGAUCUGGUUAGUUAAUCCAGUUUAAAAAGUGCAGAGCUGCUGACUACGGACAAAUGGCUCACUGGUAGAGGCAAUGUGCCAGGUGAUUUGGAAGUAGUUGAUGCACCAAUGGGAAGAAAAAUUGACUCUCACGAUGAGGUGAGUGAUCAUAAGAUGAUAGUGGCUCAAUUAAUACAGGAACAAGAACACAUAUAACACUUCUUGAAUGCAUGGGCCUCGAUUCGGAUGUGCAGUUGUAAUUAAACACAUAAAACUUCAGUUUCUAAUUGUAUAUUAAAAGUAUAAGAGUAGAUUUUGAUCCCAAAAUUUGUACAGAAAGGCAAAGAAACUAGAAUAUCUAAUAUGGUGUUGAAAAAGAAGUACAAGUUUGGAGGACUUUGCUAUCUGAUUUUAUGACUUACUAUGAAGCUACAGUAAUCAAAAUCCAUGAAAUGGCAUACAGACAAAUAGGCAAUGAAACCAAAUAUAGCCCACACUUACUACCAUUUGAUUUUUGAUAAAGGCACCAAAGUAAUCGAAUAAGGAAAGAAAAUUUUUUCAACAAACAGUGCUGGAGCAACUGGAUAACCAUAUGAGAAAAUGAAAAAAAAAAAAAAAACACAACAAAGAACCUUGAUAUUAUAUCACAUCACAGAGAAAAAUCAAGAUAGAUCACUUAAAUGUAAAAGCUAGAACUCGAAAGAAUUUUUAAGUAUAGGAUAAUACUUUUGCAACCUGGGGGUAGGCAAUUGCUUCUUAGAAGGCCAUAGAGAGCACAAACAAUAAUAAGAAAAAUCUGAUAAAUUAGAUCUUACCAAGUUUAUAAAUUUGCUUAUAAAAAGACACCAUUAAGAAAAGGAACAGGAAAAUCACAGAUGAGGAGAAAAUAUUCACAAAAUAUAUAUUUGACAAAGAAUGUACAUCCAAACUGUGUAAAGAACUUAUACAAUCAAAAUAUAAACAGUACAAUUUAAAAUUAGAAAAUGAUUUGAACAGUAAAGAGAGAUAUAUAAAUGACUGAAU